rnacentral:rRNA from 1 species
AGGACGAACGCUGGCGGCGUGGAUUAGGCAUGCAAGUUGAGCGACGGAUAGUCUUCGGACUAUUACGGAGCAGCGAACGGGUGAGUAACACGUGAACAAUCUGUCCCUUCAUUCCGGAUAAUUGGGAGAAAUCCCUUGUAAUACGGGCGAGGGUCCUCGGGGUGCAUACUUUGAGGAAGGAAGGCGCAAGCCGUGCAGGGAGGAGUUCGCGGCCUAUCAGUUAGUUGGUGGGGUAACGGCCUACCAAGACUACGACGGGUAGCUGGU